rnacentral:rRNA from 1 species
UAGGGAAUCUUCGGCAAUGGACGGAAGUCUGACCGAGCAACGCCGCGUGAGUGAAGAAGGUUUUCGGAUCGUAAAGCUCUGUUGUUAGAGAAGAACGUUGGUAGGAGUGGAAAAUCUACCAAGUGACGGUAACUAACCAGAAAGGGACGGCUAACUACGUGCCAGCAGCCGCGGUAAUACGUAGGUCCCGAGCGUUGUCCGGAUUUAUUGGGCGUAAAUCGAGCGCAGGCGGUUCUUUAAGUCUGAAGUUAAAGGCAGUGGCUUAACCAUUGUACGCUUUGGAAACUGUAGGACUUGAGUGCAGAAGGGGAGAGUGGAAUUCCAUGUGUAGCGGUGAAAUGCGUAGAUAUAUGGAGGAACACCGGUGGCGAAAGCGGCUCUCUGGUCUGUAACUGACGCUGAGGCUCGAAAGCGUGGGGAGCAAACAGG